UCUCCUUCCUUACCCAGCUUAAUUCUUUAAAUUUGCAAGUUCUGUUCAGCAGAAAGGGCCUUUUUGGUGAUCUUGCAGUUAGCCUCUUAACAGCGUAUGACUUCAGAGUUUUCUAACACUAAAUGAUAGUAAGGCAGUAAAAAUGCACUCUAAGCCUUAGAUGGAUAUCCAGGAAAGUUCAAGUUAUUGUUCAGAAGCACUGGAACUUUCUAAUUAAUCAUGUCCAAUAUUUGUUCUUUUGGCAAAAUAAUAUAUAUGCAUCUCAGGUCUUGUCCUCAUAGAUUGCACUGCUUUGGCUUUGACCUGAAGCAAAGAUGUAACUGUUAGUUUUGAUGUCUACUCCCUCCCCACCACCACCCUUAUAAUAUCAAAAGUAUUACAUGGGGCUUUAUUUAUCCUUUAUAAGAGAAGACUCUUUUGAAGUAGGAGAUAGGUAUAGUUAGCUGUGGUGCCCAAAACAAAUAUCUUGUCCUUCUCCUGUAACAAACUUAGUUUUCAAGAUGUGGCCUAAGUGUUUUAAGGCAACAAGAAGGGACAAUUUUGUGGUUGAGGCACAAGGUCUGCAUUAAACUUUAGAUUCUGGUCCUGCAAAAUUCUGCUAAUAAUUUAGGAUUAAAUCGCAUAGAGGACUUGGAUGCUUGUGCUCAGUUCUGCCAAUUGCCCACCCAGAACUGCAGUCCAGAGCCCCGAUGAGAUUUAGGGUCUGUGAGGGAUCCUGGCAGGAGAGCCCUUAUAUUACCCGAUAUUUUCAUCUGGGUCCCUCCAAGAUCCACUGUAGCUCUGCUGCUCUCAAAUUCCAUAUGGUGGCUGAUAAAAGUUGCUGUAGCAAGUGUGUCUCAUCAGCUGGGCUUAUUGCCCGGGCCCAGUGCGCGUCCUGUCCUUGCAGGUGUUACAUGUGUGUGGCUAGGCCUCGAAGUUGUCCUUCUUAGCAGGCACUGCUUCUUUGAAAUGCCAGGUUUGAAAUUUAGCUGGAAGAUAAAACUCCGUGUUUCCUUUGUCAGCUUCAGGGAAUCUAAGUCAAACAGGAAUUGAAUGAGAGGCAGUAACUGUUUAAUUGUAAAUCUUCGAAGUGUUUUUGCAAUCAAGGUAAAAGUAGUUACCUAAUGCAUGUGUUGCCUCCUUUCAACUCAAUAUUCUUAGAACUAACAAAUAGGGAAAAGAAUAAUUUUUGCACAAUAUUUUUCACUGACAGCAAUUGAUUAAUAUUUCAGGCUACACAGAUACAUGUUUUCUAAACAUAAGCCCUACCAAAGUUAAAUAAAGAUCCUUUGUAACUUAAAGCUCUAGGCAGAUACAAGAUUUUACUUUAGUGCCAGUGGUAUUCUGAUUUGUGAAUGCAAUUAUUUUUUUUAUUCUAGGCUAUCAUUGAAGUAGAGGAGUUACUGAAAUUUGUUCAGAUUUCAAUAAAUUUUCUCUCUGUUGCCUAGGAAUUAUGACUUUUUGAUACAUGAUGGAUUGAACUAAACUGUUGAAAAUUAUACAAAACCAGCUUUAUAGUUAGCCACAGGAAGCAUUUUUUAAAUUGUAUCUGUGAAGUACCAAUAUUGAAGAUCAAUUUUUUAUUAUUUAACACAGCUGAUAGUUAAUGUUAAAAAGAAGGGUUUAUUAUUCAGAAUACACAAACUGUUUCUGACUUCAGGAACUGCUUGAUCAUUUUCACAUCUCAGCAUUUUCCUUUUCUGUUCAGCCACAGAGCAAUCCCAUGUGCUAAAAUGACAUUGUGAAAGCUAAAACCUUGAUGGUGUGUGUUAAAGAGAUAAGGAAGAACAUGUACCUUUUGAAGGGGAGUGCCAGUUUCUUUAAACUGAGUGCUGGGCUGAUAACACUGUUUGCUUUUGGUAGCCUACUUAGUCCAGAUAGUCUUUUCAGUGCUAGAUAAUCUUUUCAGCCCAGCCAAACUCAAAUUCUGAGUAAUUUGUUUAAUAAAAAAAUGAAAAAAAAGGAAAAACCCCACAUCAAGACUUAAGAGCUCUGUAAUUUGAGUUUUCUUGAAUAUGGGCAAAAGCAACUUUGCUUUCUUAUUUUUGGGACUAUUCUUCAUUCAUACAAAGAACUGUAUGUCUGUUUCCUUUACUGAACUUGUGAAGGAGAAAUCACUUUGGCAAUGAACAGGGAAAGAAGUGUCAUUCUCAGGCAGUCAUGACACGGGAAAGGAGCCAGAGUAGUCCAAUCAAAAAAACAUGUGAGUAUCAUGCUGCUGUUCCUGAUUGUCCUCAAGGUUCCACAUAGUGACUGUAUAUGCAUUUGAAAGUGUUCUGGUCUGUGGUGCUGGCUCAGGGAGUGGGUCAGACUGGAGUGAACUCUGGCAUGAACAGAUAGUCUGUUUCAGA